rnacentral:rRNA from 1 species
CAGUAGCGCGGGAAUACAGAGGGUGCAAGCGUUAAUCGGAAUUACUGGGCGUAAAGCGCGCGUAGGUGGUUUGUUAAGUUGGAUGUGAAAUCCCCGGGCUCAACCUGGGAACUGCAUCCAAAACUGGCAAGCUAGAGUAUGGUAGAGGGUGGUGGAAUUUCCUGUGUAGCGGUGAAAUGCGUAGAUAUAGGAAGGAACACCAGUGGCGAAGGCGACCACCUGGACUGAUACUGACACUGAGGUGCGAAAGCGUGGGGAGCAAACAGGAUUAAAUACCCCCGUAGUCCCUGUCUCUUAUACA